CGAACGAUUAGUUUAACCUAGAAUUUGUCUCUUCGGUCUCUCUCAUUUCCUUCACUUGAACCCUAACGCCACUUUCAAAUUCCACCAUUUCCACCCGCAACAGGCCCCCAAAUCCUCUCAAACUUUAACCACACAACCACCACUCACACCUGAUUCUCCACCUACCACCAUAUCCCCUCAAAUCCUUACCAAAUGGAACCAAUUUUGGAUUAAAAAAAAGUAGAAGAAAAAGAAAAUAUUCCCAAAAAACUCUGAAUUUCUUUGAACGAUUAGGGUUAGAAUUGGUGUUACUCGUCCGUUAUCAACAAGGAAACACAAUUAAUGCCAAUUUUGGCUCAAAAUCGAAGGUGUUGAAGUUAGUUCAAGUCCAUUGUCCAUCCAUCUAGUCUAGGUAUAUUUCCAGCCAUUGUUCUUUCCUUCAUCUCACGUUUUAUUCUCAUAAUCUUCUUCUGUUUCUUUCUUUUUUGUUUUUUUUUUGUUUCUUCUCAAACUGUUCUGUAUGCAUGCUAAUGUUAGGUUAUUUUUUUACUCAGCAUUGUUUUAGUUUCUUUGAUUUUGUUGUUCAAUUUUACUCAAUUUUCUCUCUAUUUUGUUUUUUUUUUGGAUUCAUGGCUUCACGAGUUUUAUAUAACGUUGUUGGCCCAAUUUGUUGAUUGGUUUUAUGUUGGUUUUGGAAUUAGAUUUGGUUUAUGUCAAUAAGAAGCCUAGUGAGGGAAGGGGCUAUACGAGUUUGCAAGUCCAAGGGUUUUGGGUUGAUUAUUGGGUCAACUUGACCCAUAUCUGGUUCAUGAGUAUUUGAAGGGUAGUUUAGGGAAAGAGAUAAGGGGAAUCUUGUGUAACUGCCUAGGAAAUUUCUAGGAAGGUGGGUUUUGGGUUAAUUUUAACAAACAGAACUAAACAUCAGGGUUUAAAAUUCAAAAAUAAAAAUAAAAAAACGGGUAAUUGGUAAAAUCUGAAACCAACUCUUCUGCCCUAGAGGUCUCUAUAAAAGGCAUGUUUUUUUCUUCAAAUGGGAGAGCUGAGAAGACUAAAGAAAAAAACCAAGAAAACGAUUGAGCUGAAAAACACAUAAAAUCUCUUGUAUGUUUUAUAGAAAUUGGCUGAGUUCUGCUGUUAUCUUCAUAGUUUGAAACUUUCUCAAGAAUUUCUGGUCAUAUUGGGUUGAAAAAUGGUUUAAAAAGACUGAGUAGUGCUGUUUGUUUUGCUGUUUUGGUGUUGCUGACAUACUGCUAUUGUUUUCUCCUAAUCCCAGGCUAUUAUUCUUGUUUAUUUUGUUGUAUUCAGGUACUUACUAAACCUCAUUUGAUAUGUUGAAAUGAAAGGAUUUGCAACUGUUGAUUAGGUUGAAAUUUUAUGGCAUAUACGUUCAUCAUAUGCUAUUCUUGUGUUCUUAAACUCACUCAAUUCUAUAGUAGCUCAGCUCCUUUUCAUGUAUUUACGUGUUUAUUUAUGUUGUUAGAUUAAAUCUGGUUUGUAAGUUUGGAUAGUUCUUUCAGUUCAGUGGGUUUAGUUUGUAAAGCUAUUGAAGUGUUGUUUGGACAUUUAAGACUGUUGAAUCUACUGCAGCAUAGGUUUAAGUCGGAUUAAGUAAUUUUUGUAUUUGUUUAAGUCUGAAAAUUAGUAUGGUAUUUGGGAACUUUUCUUGAUUUGUUAAGUAUCAAUAUAUGGAACAAGAUGUUUAUCUUUGUUCAUGUUAUUUCAAUUAUGGGAUGUAUGUAGGAUUCCUUUCUAUAUCCUUAUUGGGACAAGCUAUGGGAUGUAGCCAUUUUGUUUGAAUCAUAAUGGUUUAUUCGUAUUUACAGGCUCUUUAGUUUAAUAUUUUCCUUUAAAUGCUAGCUUCUGAUCCUACAGUUUUAUAUUUUUAGAUUGUUGAAAUGGUGUUUUAGUCAAAGGUA
rnacentral:lncRNA from 1 species